UACGUAGGGGGCAAGCGUUGUCCGGAAUCACUGGGCGUAAAGAGCGCGCAGGCGGUCGUUCAAGUCGAGUGUGAAAGCCCCCGGCUCAACUGGGGAGGGUCACUCGAUACUGAUCGACUUGAAGGCAGGAGAGGGAGGCGGAAUUCCCGGUGUAGUGGUGAAAUGCGUAGAUAUCGGGAGGAACACCAGUGGCGAAGGCGGCUUCCUGGCCUGUUCUUGACGCUGAGGCGCGAAAGCUAGGGGAGCAAACGGG
rnacentral:rRNA from 1 species